GACGAACGCUGGCGGCGUGCUUAACACAUGCAAGUCGAACGAAGGGGCGAACGGGAGAGUAACGCGUAAUCAACCUGCCAUUCAGAGGGGGACAACAGGUGGAAACGACUGCUAAUACCGCAUACUGAAGGAGGGGAUUGCGUCUGAUUAGUUAGUUGGCGGGGUAACGGCCCACCAAGGCGAUGCUCAGUAGCCGGUCGGAGAGGAUGAGCGGCCGCAUUGGGACUGAGAACCGGCCCAGACUCCUACGGGUGGCAGCAGUAGUGAUUCUGCCGCAAUGGACGAGAGUCUGACGAAGCAACGCGGCGUGAGUGAUGACGGCCUUCGGGUUGUAAAGCUCUGUUAUUCGGGACGCGGUACCGGAAUAGAAAGCCACGGCUAACUACGUGCCAGCAGCCGCGGUAAUAC
rnacentral:rRNA from 1 species